ensembl:lncRNA
AAUCUCUUCUCACUCUUAGAUAAGGAGGAAGAAGCUAUUUGGCAGUCAAAGAUGGACAUUUCUCCUAAAGAGGAUAUUGGAAAAGGAAGAACUCCUCAGAAGGUGGAGCUGUGUUCCCUCCCUGCAAUUUACCUGGGGCCAAACUAUGGUGGAGGUAAUGAACAUAAUGGUGACCUCCUUCAAAAGAUCCCAUGCAUGUACUGCUACACUCAGUGCCCCCAACUCUGCAGCAGGCCACCACCAACCCGCGCCUCUGCUGGAGACUCCUGGACACUCACGGGCAAAUCUGCCAGCUCAUGAAGCACCCACUUAUUGAGCUUUUUCACCUUUCCAACUUACUUCCAAUGCCAAGUAACUAUAGAAUGAUCAACGUUGAGUUCUUUGGUAACUUCUUGUGUAGUUGGAAGAAGAUCAGCUCAGUGAUGGCUCUCAGUUGGUCAUUGUCAACUUCUGACGGCUGGACACUACACUCCUCAACUUCAAGGCUCUCAUCUCCUUUGCAAAACUUCUUGAACCACCACUACACUGUAUGUUCAUUAGCAAUUCCUAGACCAAAU